rnacentral:rRNA from 1 species
UUUUGUUUGGAGAGUUUGAUCCUGGCUCAGGACGAACGCUGGCGGCGUGCUUAACACAUGCAAGUCGAACGGAAAGGUCUCUUCGGAGAUACUCGAGUGGCGAACGGGUGAGUAACACGUGGGUGAUCUGCCCUGCACUUCGGGAUAAGCCUGGGAAACUGGGUCUAAUACCGGAUAGGACCACGGGAUGCAUGUCUUGUGGUGGAAAGCGCUUUAGCGGUGUGGGAUGAGCCCGCGGCCUAUCAGCUUGUUGGUGGGGUGACGGCCUACCAAGGCGACGACGGGUAGCCGGCCUGAGAGGGUGUCCGGCCACACUGGGACUGAGAUACGGCCCAGACUCCUACGGGAGGCAGCAGUGGGGAAUAUUGCACAAUGGGCGCAAGCCUGAUGCAGCGACGCCGCGUGGGGGAUGACGGCCUUCGGGUUGUAAACCUCUUUCACCAUCGACGAAGGUCCGGGUUCUCUCGGAUUGACGGUAGGUGGAGAAGAAGCACCGGCCAACUACGUGCCAGCAGCCGCGGUAAUACGUAGGGUGCGAGCGUUGUCCGGAAUUACUGGGCGUAAAGAGCUCGUAGGUGGUUUGUCGCGUUGUUCGUGAAAUCUCACGGCUUAACUGUGAGCGUGCGGGCGAUACGGGCAGACUAGAGUACUGCAGGGGAGACUGGAAUUCCUGGUGUAGCGGUGGAAUGCGCAGAUAUCAGGAGGAACACCGGUGGCGAAGGCGGGUCUCUGGGCAGUAACUGACGCUGAGGAGCGAAAGCGUGGGGAGCGAACAGGAUUAGAUACCCUGGUAGUCCACGCCGUAAACGGUGGGUACUAGGUGUGGGUUUCCUUCCUUGGGAUCCGUGCCGUAGCUAACGCAUUAAGUACCCCGCCUGGGGAGUACGGCCGCAAGGCUAAAACUCAAAGGAAUUGACGGGGGCCCGCACAAGCGGCGGAGCAUGUGGAUUAAUUCGAUGCAACGCGAAGAACCUUACCUGGGUUUGACAUGCACAGGACGCGUCUAGAGAUAGGCGUUCCCUUGUGGCCUGUGUGCAGGUGGUGCAUGGCUGUCGUCAGCUCGUGUCGUGAGAUGUUGGGUUAAGUCCCGCAACGAGCGCAACCCUUGUCUCAUGUUGCCAGCACGUAAUGGUGGGGACUCGUGAGAGACUGCCGGGGUCAACUCGGAGGAAGGUGGGGAUGACGUCAAGUCAUCAUGCCCCUUAUGU